rnacentral:rRNA from 1 species
UACGUAGGGGGCAAGCGUUGUCCGGAUUUAUUGGGCGUAAAGAGCGUGUAGGCGGCCUGAUAGGUCAGCUGUGAAAACUCGAGGCUCAACCUCGAGACGUCGGUUGAAACCAUCUGGCUAGAGUCCGGAAGAGGAGUGUGGAAUUCCCGGUGUAGCGGUGAAAUGCGCAGAUAUCGGGAAGAACACCCGUGGCGAAGGCGGCACUCUGGGACGGUACUGACGCUGAGACGCGAAAGCGUGGGGAGCGAACAGG